rnacentral:rRNA from 1 species
GUGGUCAAGCUAAUAAGGGCUAAUGGUGGAUACCUAGGCACACAGAGGCGAAGAAGGACGUGGUUACCGACGAAAUGUUCCGGGGAGUUGGAAGCAAACUUUGAGCCGGAAAUAUCCGAAUGGGGCAACCCUAUGUACUACCUGUUGAAUAUAUAGACAGGAAAGAGCCAACCCAGCGAACUGAAACAUCUUAGUAGCUGGAGGAAGAGAAAUCAAACUAGAGAUUCCCUAAGUAGUGGUGAGCGAAAGGGGAAGAGCCUAAACCAAGGGAUUUAUCCUUUGGGGUCGUGGGACAGCAAUAUCGAAUCUAGAGAUUAGACGAAACAGCUAAAUACUGUACCAGAGGGGGUGAAAGUCCCGUAGUCGAAAGUCAAAGGAUAGUAGCUGAAUCCCGAGUAGCAUGGAGCACGAGGAAUUCCAUGUGAAUCAGCGAGGACCACCUCGUAAGGCUAAAUACUACUGUGUGACCGAUAGUGAACAAGUACCGCGAGGGAAAGGUGAAAAGAACCCCGGAAGGGGAGUGAAAUAGAACAUGAAACCAUAAGCUUACAAGCAGUGGGAGUCCGAUUUAACGGAUGACCGCGUGCCUGUUGAAGAAUGAGCCGGCGACUUAUAGGCACUGGUAGGUUAAAGCGAGAAUGCUGGAGCCAAAGGGAAACCGAGUCUGAAGAGGGCGAAAAUCAGUGUUUAUAGACCCGAACCCUGGUGAUCUAACCAUGUCCAGGAUGAAGCUUGGGUAACACCAAGUGGAGGUCCGAACCGACCGAUGUUGAAAAAUCGGCGGAUGAGGUGUGGUUAGGGGUGAAAUACCAAUCGAACCAGGAGCUAGCUGGUUCUCCCCGAAAUGUGUUGAGGCGCAGCGGUUGUGAUUAAAUCUGGGGGGUAAAGCACUGUUUCGGUGCGGGCUGGGAGACCGGUACCAAAUCGAGACAAACUCAGAAUACCCAGAGAACACACAGCCAGUGAGACAGUGGGGGAUAAGCUUCAUUGUCAAGAGGGAAACAGCCCAGACCACCAGCUAAGGUCCCCAAAUCAUCACUAAGUGAUAAAGGAGGUGAGAUUGCCUAGACAACUAGGAGGUUUGCCUAGAAGCAGCCACCCUUGAAAGAGUGCGUAAUAGCUCACUAGUCAAGCGAUCUUGCGCCGAAAAUGAACGGGGCUAAGUGAUGUACCGAAGCUGUGGGAUUACUAAAAAUAAUCGGUAGGGGAGCGUUCCGUCGUAGGUAGAAGCAGUAGCGGCGAGCAGCUGUGGACGAAACGGAAGUGAGAAUGUCGGCUUGAGUAGCGCAAAUGUAUGUGAGAAUCAUACACCCCGAAACCCUAAGGGUUCCAGAGCCAGGUUCGUCCACUCUGGGUUAGUCGGGACCUAAGGCGAGGCCGAACGGCGUAGUCGAUGGACAAAGUGUCAAUAGUCACUUACUGUUCUGUGGGAGCAUAGAGAGGGACGCAUGAAAGAUAGCCAUACCCUGAUUGGUUUGGGAGGAGUUUACGAACUCCGAGUGGUGAAGGAUAGUGCCAAGAAAAGCUGUUUAUGUGAUGAAGAUAGAACACCCGUACCCGAAACCGACACAGGUAGGGAGGUUGAGAAUACCAAGGGGCGCGAGAUAACUCUCUCUAAGGAACUCGGCAAAAUGGCCCCGUAACUUCGGAAGAAGGGGUGCCCACCUAAGCAGUGGGUCGCAGUGAAGAGAUCCAAGCGACUGUUUACCAAAAACACAGGUCUCCGCCAACUCGAAAGAGGACGUAUGGGGGCUGACGCCUGCCCAGUGCCGGAAGGUUAAGGAAGUUGGUCAGCGAAAGUGAAGCUGACGACCGAAGCCCCGGUGAACGGCGGCCGUAACUAUAACGGUCCUAAGGUAGCGAAAUUCCUUGUCGGGUAAGUUCCGACCCGCACGAAAGGCGUAACGAUUUGGAUGGUGUCUCAGAGAGAGACUCGGCGAAAUAGGAAUGUCUGUGAAGAUACGGACUGCCUGCACCUGGACAGAAAGACCCUAUGAAGCUUUACUGUAGCCUGGAAUUGUGUUCGGGCUUCGCUUGCGCAGGAUAGGUGGGAAGCGGUGAGAUAUUCCUUUUGGGGAAUAAGGAGCUAACGGUGAGAUA